rnacentral:rRNA from 3 species
GAUUUCUGGUACAAUGCACCUGGCCCGCGGCCUCUUAGGCUUGUGAGUGCCGGCGCGCGUUUACCAUCCUUCUAGAAAACAGGCCUGCCCUUUACUGGGUUGGGUUUGCGAUCUAGAUCUUUUACUUUGAAAAAAUUAGAGUGUUUAAAGCAGGCUUUUGCUAUGAAUACAUUAGCAUGGAAUAAUAAUCUAGGACUUCGGUUCUAUUUUGUUGGUUUCUAUAACUGAAGUAAUGAUUGAUAGGGAUAGUUGGGGGUGCUAGUAUUGGCCGGCCAGAGGUGAAAUUCUUGGAUUCGGUCAAGACUAACUUAUGCGAAAGCAUU